GGUUGUGGCUCAGCGGUAGAGCACUUGCCUAGCACGUGUGAGGCCCUGGGUUCGGUCCUCAGCACCA
rnacentral:tRNA from 1 species